CUCAAGAGUUGUUACUGCCAACGUAGUCAAUAUUUCUUCCUUUAUGUGCUUAUGUGCUGAGAUUCCUCACUUUCCAACUGAGCCACUGAGAUACAAAGUGGAGUGAAAUUGAUUGCUGCCUGACCGAUUUCCCACCCACUGAAGUACUUUUGGGCACUGUGGGAAAGCCAUUCCAACAAGGUUCCAACUCGUAUCAAUGCAAGGAAAAACAGUUAAACCAUUUCAGCUCUAAUGCAGAUUGAAUGGAAAUCACCUAUCCAGAAGCAUCAUGGCUUAGUAUGGGAACUGCUCAACUGGUUAGUAUGGAGACUGCAAGAAAAUGUAGAGAGUUGUGGACACAGCACAGCGCAUCGUGGAAACCAACUUCUCCACGGACUCUAUCUACACUCCUCACUGCCAUGAUCAAGCAGCCAAUGUAAUCGAAGACCCCAUCCUUCUUUCUUCUCUACAAUUCCAUUGAACAGAAGAUACAAAAGCCUAAAGAAAAGUUACCAUAAUGCACAAAGACAACCUCUAUCCCAUAAGAUCAUAGGGCCAAAAGAUAUAGGAACCGAAUUUGGUCAUUUAGCCCAUUGAGUCUGCUCCAAUUUUUCAUUAUGGCUGAUCCAGUUUCCGCUCAGCCCCAGUCUCCUUCCUUCUCCCUGUAACACUUCAUGCCCUGACUAAUCAAGAAUCUAUCAGCCUCCACUAAAAUAUACCCAAUAACUUGGACUUUACAGCUGUCUGUGGCAAAGAAUUCCAUAUCCCGCUGUAAUAAGGUUAUUGAAUGGUCCCCUAAUAUGAUAAGAUGGACUCUUAACCUCACAGUCUUAGCCUUGCACUUUAUCGUCUACCUACACUGCACUUUCUCUGUAACUGUAAACACUUUAUUCUGCACUCUGUUACAGUGCUGCCAUUGUACUCUCUCAACAAGCCUGUGUGAUGCAAUUAAAGCCAUUUGCCCAGUUAACCUACUAACCUGUAAGUCAUUGGAUUCUGGGAGGAUACUGGAGCACCAGGGGGAAACCUGCGCAGUCACUGGGAGAACGUACAGACUCCUUACAAGCAAUCAAGGGAAACUGAACCCACAUCACUGGCACCGUAAUAGUGUUACACUAACCACUAUGUUACUGUGCCACCCACUUGAUCUGCAGGGAUGCCAUGCAAAACAAAGGUUUUAAUAUACCAGUACAACUGACAAUAGUAAACCAAUUUACCAAUAUUUAAGGUUUGUUGUUGUAAUUUCUGCUCUUUACUAAUAGUCUGUGUGAACUGACUGCAAACAAACUGUUUGCAAGGUGUCAAAACUUACUCAAUUCCAAUCUGUCAUCUGAAACAGUGGUGUUGAUAAACACUGUUAUAAUCAGCUUUUCCCCAGGU